AUGAGACGAAUCUAAUGAGCUAUUUUGCGUCCUUCUAUGAUCACUAGAUGGCGAGAUAUGAGUUUCGAUCUUUUUUUUUGAGUUUCAGAGUUUCAAAAAUUUUUGAGCCUUCGAAACUAGUUUUGACAGGCAACUCUACAUGGAAUAAUGAAAUAGGACGUUUGAUUCUAUUUUGUUGGUUUCUAGGAUCAACGUAAUGAUUAAUAAGGAUAGUUGGGGGCAUUAGUAUUCAAUUGUCAGAGGUGAAAUUCUUGGAUUUAUUGAAGACUAACUACUGCGAAAGCAUUUGCCAAGGAUGUUUUCAUUAAUUAAGAACGAAAGUUAGGAGAUCGAAGAUGAUCAGAUACCGUCGUAGUCUUAACCAUAAACUAUGCUGACUAGGGAUCAGAUGAUGUUAAUUUUUUAAUGACUCAUUCGGCGCCUUACGGGAAAC
rnacentral:rRNA from 1 species